UGCAGUUGGGUGUACUAUGUUUAGCACAGGGCGUUGCAUCUUUAUAUAGUGAGAAGUGGCACAGAGUUAGUGGAGAAUAGCGUUGUUCUCUCCGAGUUUAGUAUUUUGUAUGUUCAUGAGUAGUUGAGUACUAGGUGGGGGAAGAGUGCUACUAUGAAAAAUGACAUAUCUUACUUAAUGAUGACUACUAGACACGGGAUGUGUGUGUUAAUUGGGUAUAUGACGAGUGUUUGAAGUUCUUGAGAAGAAUUAGUAACUGUCGUUUGCACUUGUAAAUAAGUGGCAGUAGGAGUACAGUGUUUUGUUAUUAUUGCAAUGCUUGAAACAUUUGUUUUACAUAUAACAUGCCUUGGUGAUACGUGUCUUGCUUUGACAGGAUGAUCGAUGCUAGUGAAUAUUAUCGAUUUCACCAAUAGCGGAUUAAGACAGUGAGGUUUUCAUGCAGCGAAGCGUUGGAGAAAUUUGAGAGAGCAGAGCUAAGAGUUUUCGAAGCUUGUUGGGAAGUUGUAUUUCAUAGUUUGGUGCUUUUCUUGAACCGGGUCCAUUUACUAUUUUUUAUGCGGUGAAGAAGCAAAGCAGUGCAUUAUCAUUAGCAUAUGCUGAAGGCAGACUUGCAGUGGAGAAUAGUUGCUGCACAUUGAAGUACCAAGAGGAAAUGUUGAUGAGGUAAGGAAUAGUGUUUGGAUACAAAAGUUUAGUCCCAAGGUUAUUUAAGGAAUGAGAGGGAGAUUGAAAUUUAGUUGUGCAUGUUGUAUUUGAAGUUAUGCAAAGUUUGUGGAGGGUAAAUUUGAAUGUCACAGUGUCAGAGUGACAGGAUGAAGUUUGCUUGUGUAUUGAUAUCCUCUUCCAGAAAAAGACGUACAAUGCUUUGUUUGAGAACACAGAUUAUUGGACAAAGAUUUGAAAGAAAUUAUGUCAUGAAUGCUUGAGUUUUGAACAAAGGAGAUUUUAUGUGGCAAGUAGUAGUGGAAUGGCAAUUGGAAUAACUUUCUGGUAAUACCAAGUUCUUGAGUGGCAUGACACUUUCUAGGAGCUGGCAUUUGGAAUUUGUUUGUGACUUGAUGUGGGAAGAAAUGCAGCCCGCAGAAGUCUCUCUCUUGUUGUGGGAAUUAAAUGACAGUAACUUCGAGAGACGAUUGUUUCACUCAGUGAGACGCAGUGUAGAGAAUGAAGAGAACUGGUUGUGCAGAACAACAUGUGCUGAGCUGCCUACCGAUCCAGCAUAGGACCGAAGCAGUUUGGAUGGAUACUUGGUCUCACUUGUCCAUUGGGUGCAGAACUUAAAGUUACUGCCUAAAUUUUUUCAACAUAUGGUACACUUUUAUUGUUGAAUUGUUGUCCAUAGAAGCGGAAAUGGUGUCAGUUCAGGAGAAGGCACAAACUGUGCUUUAGUAUGCAGAGUUUAAAUCCAUUGUCCAUUGUUAUGGUGCAAAGGCAGUUUCAUGGUGUUUACAGGAAAGCAGCAACAGAUGCCAAGCACAUAAAAACAUGGCACAGUCAGUUUCUGGAAACUGGCAGUGUUGCAAAGCGACACAGAGGUGGUCGGCGGGUCUCUGAAGAAUAAGUCGAGAAUAUCUGCCAAACAUUCCAAUGAAGUCCACAAAAAUCUGUUUGUCAAGCUUCAUGAGAACAUCAGAUGCCUUGUGCAACUGUUCAUAAAGUGCUCAGAAAGCAGCUGCAUCUGUAUUCAUACAAGGUGCAGAUAUUGCAGGUCAUAAAGCCUGAUGUCAAGCAGCGACAACAUGAAUUUGCAUGUGAAAUGCUUAACCGAAUUGACCAAAAUCCUGUGUGCCUGUCAAUUGUAAUGUUUUCUGAAGAGGCCACAUUCUGUGUCUCUGGAACUGUGAACAAGUGUAACGCUCAAUUUUGGAGGUCUCUGAAUCCACACAGUGUCAGGGAAAAGGUACGAGAUAACCCGAAAGUGAAUGUUUGGUGUGGCCACAUGUGUGACAAGAUAAUUGGACCAUUCUUCUUUGCUGAAAUAACUGUGACAGGAAUGGCGUAUCUAGACACCUAGACAUGCUGGAGAACUUUGUCUUCCCCCAGGUUGAAGACCUUAGAUUUCAGCAAGUUGGUGCUCCACCUCACUGGUCGCUUAAUGUUUGGGAAGCUCUAAAUGCGACAUCUCCAGGACGCUGGGUUGGACGAGGUGCACCCAUGAAUUGGCUUCCAUGUUCUGACAUCACACCGUUGCAUUUUUUCUAUUCCAGGAGAGAGUGAUCACCACUGCUGUGCAGGAUGUUCAAGAUCUCCAUUCUUAGAUUGUGGAAGUCAUUGACACCUUUCCUCCAAGACCUUUCCUGAGAAUCUGGAUGGAUAUUGAAAACAGACUAGACAUUCUUCGUGUCAGUGCAGGGGCUCACAUGGGAGUGUUUUGAUUUGUUGUUGCAAUUUUUUUUUCUUUUUUUCCCAAAACUUAUUUUCACGUACAACUUAUUUUUGUGAAAAAUGAAGUUAUUUCAUUUAGUUUUGUAUAUGGAACACAUUUACAGUAGGGAAUUACUGUAUGGCAUUUUAUGUGCAUAUUUACAUAGAUAACUCCAUAAGGAAUCGGCACUGUGUCUUCCUUCUGCAGUGUCUAAGUUUUGUUGUUUCUGUUUCAAUUGACUGUUUCUGUUGCAUAUGCACAAAUGUUUAUUAUUAUUUGUUAAUGCUCAUGAAAUUGAAUAUAUGUCUCAAGUCAG